AUUGAACGCUGGCGGCAGGCCUAACACAUGCAAGUCGAACGCGUGGCGGACGUGUGAGUAAUGUCUGGGAAACUGCCCGAUAGAGGGGGAUCACUACUAGACACGGUAUCUAAUACCGCAUUCCCUUGUGUGUGCCCAUAUGGGAUUAGCUAGGAGGUGGGUGAACGGCUCACCUAGGCGACGCGCCCUAGCUGGUGUGAGAGGAUGACCAGCCAAACUGGAACUGAGAACCGGUACAGACUCCUACGGGAGGCAGCAGUGGGGAAUAUUGCACAAUGGGCGAAAGCCUGAUGCAGCCAUGCCGCGGGUAUGAAGAAGGCCUUCGGGUUGUAAAGCACUUUCAGCGAGGAGGCGUUACUCGCAGAAGAAGCACCGGCUAACUCCGUGCCAGCAGCCGCGGUAAUAC
rnacentral:rRNA from 1 species